CGUACCUCGUGCCUCGCUGGCGCGCACUACCGGCGGGGGAAGGCCUCCGUGUCCCCUUCCAGAACCUUCCUCCGAAGUGCUUUGACGUCGUUGCCCUUCCCCGCGUCGUUGCCCUAGUACGGCGCCGUCGGAUGGCGGCCACGCCGCCGUCCGCCGCCCGAAGUCGUCACGCCGCUCAGAGCUUCGCUGUCGUUGGCCACCGCGACGCCGCCCUCGCCUCCGAGCCCACGCUAUGUAAUGCGGUUUAAUUUAUGUCAUACCCGAGCUACGAUCAGGAAGACCUUCAAGACCCCAACUACGAUGAGGAGGAUCUGAACAGCUACGGACAAGGUUCGGAGCCCAACUAUGACUUUGACAACGACGGCUGGGAGGACUAGGGAUCAUGCUUCGGUCGAGUCGCCUGUGAAGACGGAGUUCACCAUAGCUUCUAUUUCCACUGCGUAGAUGUUUUACCUUUCUUAAUUCAGUCCUGUUGGACUUGUACUGGCAUGUGCCGCUAAGAUGUACUCGUACUGAUGAUAUUGUACUAUAUUUCUCUGAUGUUUCUGUGUGUA